ensembl:lncRNA
GAGAGAUGAAUAAUGUUGAUGUAACAAUCAUCAGCAUGGAUGAUUCUGGAAUGAAAAAUUAAACAUGAGUGGAGGGAAUGAAGGGAUGGGAAGGCAGGGAGGGGUGGUUGGUGAAUGGGUGAUGUUAGGGUGAGGGGGUGAGGGGGUGAGGGGUGAGGGGGUGAGCGGGUGAACGGAUGAACGCAGAGGGUUAGGCCGUGCUUACCUAUGAAGGGUAUGGACGCCAGGGAGUCCUCCUCUAGGGACAGGGGGGCCGGGGCCCCGUUGGCCUUGCGGGGGCCGUCCUCCCCCCGGGGGGGCUGUGCCGAGGUGGGGGCGUAGAAGGCCGAGUCGUCCCCCUCGGGGGAGAACAGGCCCGGGUCCAGGGAGUCCAGCGGCAGGGCGUAGUGCGGGUGGCGCAGGCCGUACGCGUUCCUCCGCCCCGUGGGGGGCUUCUGCCUCAGCACCACCUCCUGCGCCGCGGGGGGGGGGCCUCCGAGGCCGACCCGGACCCGGACCCCGAGCCCGAGCCCGAGGCCCGCUCCCUCUCGUGGUUGGUGGGCCGGUACGCCCGCUCCUGGGGGUUCGGCGUGGUGGCCCCCGGCGGCGAGGCGACGGAGCCGGGGGCCCCCUCCGGGGGGCUGGCGGGGUUCCAGUUGAGGUGGGGGCCGGCGUACGAGGGGUCCCUGAAGGAGUGCGCCUGCUGCAGGAUGCGGCCCGUCUUGCGGUAGAAGGAGGGGCUGUAGCUGCGGUAGCCCCCCCCCUGGUCGUCCGCGCUCUGCGCCGUGGUCAGCCGCCGGCUCUGGGGGGCCGCCUGCUGGGCCUGGGGGUGCAUCGUCGGGUGGGGGCUGGGACUGGUGUCUCUGAGGGGUCUGCGGGGCCGAGCCGUCGGUGGGGGGGCCGCGUACUGGCCCGCUUGCCUCUGGGGGCUUCUGUCCGUGGGGCGGGGCGGGGCCGGCUGGGACCAGGGGGGCGGGGGGGCCGCCAACCUCUCCGUCCGGGGGGACACCAGGGCCGCCCCGGGGGGCUCCGGCCCCUCCGGCGAGCGCCCGUACGAGCGGUCGUACUGCGCCAGCAGGUCCUCCGAGCGCGUGCGGGCGUAGCUGGAGACCCGCGGGUCGCGGCCCGGCGCCGCCUCCCAGUCCUCGUAGGUCCAGUAGGGGUCGCCGCGGGGCCCGGGGCCCGACUGCUGCAGCAGCGUCAGGGUGUCCUGGGAGGCGCUGUGUGGCCAGGCCCCGGCCCUCUGCUGCUGCUGCUGCUGCUGCUGCUGCAGCCGCCGCGAGCGCGUCUCGCCCAGACGGUCCUGGGAGUAGCUGCGAUGGCGCGUCUGGAUGCGGCGGCCGGCGCGGUCCGGCGGCGGCGGCGGCGGCACCUGGCUGUGGUACCAGUCCGACAGCGCCUGCUGGCAGCGCUGGUCGCCACGGCUACGGCCCUGAUGCUGCUGCUGUUGUUGUUGUUGUUGUUGUUGUUGCGGCGGCGGCUGCG